AAUUUUCCCACGCUGUGUAAUUUGACUCAUAACACUCUGAUUGGUUACUUAACCAAUCAGAGUGUUAUGAGUCAAAUUACACAGCGUGGGAAAAUUCCAAAGAACUUUUCCACGCUGUGUAAAAUGACCUGGGGGAGGGGGGGUUAUUUUUUUAAUUUUUUUUUUUAG